GACGAACGCUGGCGGCAUGCCUAAUACAUGCAAGUCGAGCGGACUUGAAGAGAAGCUUGCUUCUCUGAUAGUUAGCGGCGGACGGGUGAGUAACACGUAGGCAACCUGCCCUCAAGCUUGGGACAACUACCGGAAACGGUAGCUAAUACCGAAUACUUGUUUUCUUCGCCUGAAGGGAACUGGAAAGACGGAGCAAUCUGUCACUUGGGGAUGGGCCUGCGGCGCAUUAGCUAGUUGGUGAGGUAACGGCUCACCAAGGCGAAGAUGCGUAGCCGACCUGAGAGGGUGAUCGGCCACACUGGGACUGAGACACGGCCCAGACUCCUACGGGAGGCAGCAGUAGGGAAUCUUCCGCAAUGGGCGAAAGCCUGACGGAGCAAUGCCGCGUGAGUGAUGAAGGUUUUCGGAUCGUAAAGCUCUGUUGCCAGGGAAGAACGCUUGGGAGAGUAACUGCUCUCAAGGUGACGGUACCUGAGAAGAAAGCCCCGGCUAACUACGUGCCAGCAGCCGCCGUAACAC
rnacentral:rRNA from 1 species